GAGGAGAGACAAUGUUUUCCCUAAAGCUCUUUGUGUUGUUGGCAGCCAUACACAGUGUUUACUCACAGGUUGUGCUCACACAGUCUGAACAGUCAGUAGUUGUGUCUCCAGGUGCUUCCUACAAACUGACCUGUGCCUGCAGUGGGUUUACUGUUAGUAGCUAUCGCAUGCACUGGAUCCGUCAGGCACCUGGAAAAGGACUGGAAUGGAUCUUACACUAUUAUACAGACUCUGACAAAGGCUCAGCUCAGUCAGUUCAAGGCAGAUUCACAGCAUCUAAGGACAGCUCUAAUCUCUAUCUACACAUGAGUCAGUUAAAGACUGAAGACACUGCAGUGUAUUACUGUGCCUCACGUAAACUGGGACCCGAAUUUGUUGGACCAUUUAUCAUAGCCAAAGUGCUUAGUCCGGUGUCAGUUUGGCUCAAAUUACCCCCUCAGUUUAGAAGGACCCACCCGGUUUUCCACGUUUCUAAGAUUAAACCCGCCUUUCGCUCCCCCCUUCAGUCCCUGACCUCUGCCCUUCCGCCUCCUAGGCUCAUCGAGGGGUCGCCUGCCUAUACUAUGUCCACUGUGUUGAACUGA